rnacentral:rRNA from 1 species
UAUCUCUGUAGAGUCUGCAUAUCAAUAAGCGGAGGAAAAGAAACUAACAAGGAUUCCCCUAGUAACGGCGAGUGAAGCGGGAAGAGCUCAAAUUUGAAAUCUUCAAGGUUUGACCUUGACGAAUUGUAGUUUAAAGAAGUGUUUUCGGUUAGAGGAGUAGUAAAAGUUCUUUGGAAUAGGACAUCAUAGAGGGUGAGAAUCCCGUAUUUGACUAUUCUUUCUAGCUUUGUGAUACACUUUCAAAGAGUCGGAUUGUUUGGGAAUGCAGUCCAAGAUGGGUGGUAAAUUUCAUCUAAAGCUAAAUAUUGGCGAGAGACCGAUAGCGAACAAGUACCGUGAGGGAAAGAUGAAAAGAACUUUGAAAAGAGAGUUAAACAGUACGUGAAAUUGUCAAAAGGGAAGCGUUUGACACCAGUGUUGUUUUUUCCGAAAAUCAAUUAAAAAUUGAUUCAUGCCAGGUUGUAUUGACCUUAUCAGCUUGCAAUUUGGUUUUGGGUCUCUUUUUGAUGCACUUUUCGGUUAACAAGUCAACAUCAAUUUCCUUUGCUGUAAAAAGGUAAGAGGAAGGUGGCUUCAAUUUCGGUUGAAGUGUUUAUAGCCUUUUAUCUCUGCAGUCGGGGAGAUUGAGGUCUGCAGCGUAGAUCCUUCGGGGCUAGAUACAUUUAUGCUAAGUUAUAGCUUUUCAUAGACAACUUGUUGACUAUGUUUAGUCAUGUAGCUUACUCGUAAGUGCUAUUUUACCUACGCUUAGGAUGUUGAAGACUCUACAGAGAUA